GGUUUAUAGUAGUGUAGCGGUUAGCACGUGAGAUUCUGAAAACAGAAUCAAUAUAUUCUGUAAAGAAUGUUUCUCGAAUCCCCGGUUCGAGCCCGGGUACGACCU